AACGCACGAGACCUGCGGACCUGCGGAAGGAUCAUUAGUGAACGCCCUCACGGGCUUAUAACUAUUCCAAACCUCUGUGAACCGUGCCCUUCGGGGCUAUUUUACAAACGUGGUGUAAUGAACGUCAUAUAUCAUAACAAAACAAAACUUUCAACAAUGGAUCUCU
rnacentral:misc_RNA from 1 species